rnacentral:rRNA from 1 species
UGGGGAAUAUUGGACAAUGGGGGCAACCCUGAUCCAGCAAUGCCGCGUGUGUGAAGAAGGUCUUCAGAUUGUAAAGCACUUUCGACGGGGACGAUGAUGACGGUACCCGUAGAAGAAGCCCCGGCUAACUUCGUGCCAGCAGCCGCGGUAAUACGAAGGGGGCUAGCGUUGCUCGGAAUGACUGGGCGUAAAGGGCGUGUAGGCGGUUUACACAGUCAGAUGUGAAAUCCCCGGGCUUAACC